UACGUAGGGUGCAAGCGUUGUCCGGAAUUAUUGGGCGUAAAGAGCUCGUAGGCGGUUUGUCGCGUCUGCUGUGAAACCCCGAGGCUCAACCUCGGGCCUGCAGUGGGUACGGGCAGACUAGAGUGCGGUAGGGGAGAUUGGAAUUCCUGGUGUAGCGGUGGAAUGCGCAGAUAUCAGGAGGAACACCAAUGGCGAAGGCAGAUCUCUGGGCCGUAACUGACGCUGAGGAGCGAAAGCGUGGGGAGCAAACAGG
rnacentral:rRNA from 1 species